UACGUAGGGGGCAAGCGUUAUCCGGAAUUACUGGGUGUAAAGGGUACGUAGGUGGUAUGGCAAGUCAGAAGUGAAAACCCAGGGCUUAACUCUGGGACUGCUUUUGAAACUGUCAGACUGGAGUGCAGGAGAGGUAAGCGGAAUUCCUAGUGUAGCGGUGAAAUGCGUAGAUAUUAGGAGGAACAUCAGUGGCGAAGGCGGCUUACUGGACUGAAACUGACACUGAGGCACGAAAGCGUGGGGAGCAAACAGG
rnacentral:rRNA from 1 species